UCCUACCGUUCAGCAGGCUAAACGUUGAAAGAGUUUUAACACCACCUACAAGUUGAUUCCUAAAGAUUUAUUAACUCGAAACGUGGUAUAGGCAGGAUGAUGUGCAGUCUGGUCUUUUUUCACCAGUUUUAUAAGGCUGUUUGGAGGUGGGAGAAUACGUGGUCCCUGAACGGUCCUGUUCUUGACUGAAAAUGCGUGUCAAAAGCAGCCAUGGUCAAAAUAAAAAACUGUGAUAUAACCAGAAAGUCUUUUAGCAGCUGAUCAACGGCUGAUUAUUUCAAAUUGUGGAACAAUUUAUCUGAAAACCACUGAGCCAGCUGAGAGAAUUUUGAUUUCCCAGUGUACCUGAACUGCUCACGGACCUGCGCAGCAGAUGCUAAUGAGACUAACGUUAGCCCGACAACCCGAGGAGUUUGAUUAACGCCAGCUCGUUUUAUCGCUUCCAAACUACGGAGGACGUGGAUCCUGACGAAGACUUUACUGAAUCGUCGUGUUGGUGAAGGCAGAUUAUGAAGGUUUUCUUUAAAGUGUUAAUGUCGCAAACAGGAAGUGGAACGGGGUUUAAAGCCUCCAGGCCAAUUAAAGCUCAGAGCGGGCCGAAGGAUAUGGGUUCAUGUUCGAACCAAAGAAGAA